rnacentral:rRNA from 1 species
CAGUCGCCGCGGUAAUACGAGGGGGGCAAGCGUUGUUCGGAAUUAUUGGGCGUAAAGGGUGCGUAGGCGGCUUGACAAGUCUUGUGUGAAAUCUAUGGGCUCAACCCAUAGUCUGCACGGGAAACUGUCGGGCUUGAGAAUGGGAGAGGUGAGUGGAAUUUCCGGUGUAACGGUGAAAUGCGUAGAUAUCGGAAGGAACACCUGUGGCGAAAGCGGCUCACUGGACCAUAACUGACGCUGAUGCACGAAAGCUAGGGGAGCAAACAGGAUUAGAUACCCCGGUAGUCCCUGUCUCUUAUAU